GUGCUCAAUUUGACAACAUAUAUACUAAAACUGGAAUGAUACAGAGAAAAUUAACAUGGCCCCUGAGCAAGGAUGACACACAAAUUCAUGAAGCAUUCCAUAUAUUC